UUUUACGUCAUUUUGAAUUGUAAGUAGUGCGAGUAGUAUGUUCACACUGAAAAUGCAACAAAGAAAAGUGUACUACGAGUACCCGGAUGAUGCACUUUUUCAACCGUCAAAACGGAGUGUGGAAUGUUGGACACUUAGUGCAGGGGCGGAGUUACCGGUAGUGAUGGUGAUCUGGCAAAAAAAAAUUAAAUCAUGGAAAAUAUGACAACUAGCGAAACUUCUGUGAAGAAAGCGCCUUACAAAAGGCGGGACCAGAGUCACAGCGCUCUCAUGAGCAUGGAAUCAAGCACAUACAGAUAAGCUCCAAGGCCACAUGCUUUUAAAAGGAUCGGACGUCAUCAGAGGAAUACUGUGACUUAAGGAAGUAUAUGGGCUGUGAGAUACAGGAGGACAAUAAUAAUAAUAUUAAUAAUAAUAAUAAAAGAGUUGCGAGGAUACUGGAGAACUGGUGCUCUCUGCUCCACAUCACAAAAAGAUGGAAACAAUUGUGAGACUUUUGUGCUACUGGUGAAUGCUCUUACCCUGACUAGGAGUAUCCGUCCCAGACAACUGAUACAACACCAUGAUGUGGCAAUGAGGAUGUUCAUGUACAACAAACUCAAGCAAAAUGUCAGCUCUCCAGUUGUAAUGUUCAAUUCCAGUGUUUGUGUGUGUAAAUACAUGUACUCAAAUGUAUUGUCUUUUGUAGUUACAUGCAUGACAACCUGUAAUUUGUAACCAAAAAAUCAUACCUUUUUGCCAACAGACUUGCUUUAAAGUGUUAAAAAAACAGACACUCUUUAAAAACCUAUUUACAUCAAAAUGCCUUGAUAGAACUCAAUAAAAGAUUUGUCAACUAAAUGAUGAAAUAUUUUGUCAAAUGUGAUGAGUCAACAUUCAUACUCAUAUUCAUGUUGUUCCAAACCCAAAUGACUGACUUUCUUCUGUGGGAGGAACUCAGAAGGAGAUGUCAGGAAUUAUGAUAGGGACUGACAGCCUCGCUUUCAUUUCAGCCUCAUUAGCAGCAUCUACAUUUUACAAUGUAUUCUCAUAUUCCACAGAAGAAAAUAAAUAGUACAGGUUUUUGAAAAACAUGAGGGUGAGAAAAUGACAGAAUUUAAAUUUUUAAGUAAGGCAACCCAAAGACAAUGUUACGGUUUUUUUUUUGUUUGUUUGUUUGUUUGUUUGUUUGUUUUGUAUUUCACUUUCAUUUCAA